UUAAAGUUAAUUAUACAGAGCAGGAGAUAAAAACCUUUAAUGUAAGCAACAUCUGAUUGAAAAUGAAACCAUGUUGCCUUCAUACAGGCUGUGUGAGUCACAGACAGGGAGGUGUGGCUAGAACUGCAUAAACAGAAACAAAAGUGAUUUAAUUCCUAAAUUGCAGUGAACUGAGAAGUGAAACCUCAGAGGCAUGAUCUGUACACUAAAACAGCUAAAGUUGUUUUGGUGACUAUAGUGUCCCUUUAAUUACUUGUAGAAGAUACAUAUGUAUUAUAUUGUAGGAUUGGGGAAGGACACAGAUGUUUGGACUAAGCAAAGGCAAGCUGGAUAAGAGGAAUCGUACACUAGUGGGUAGUGCAUAGUAAGUAGUGGGUAAUGGGAGACGUUUCCCUACCUCCUAGGGUGAUGUGGCAGGAUAUUGGUCAGUUAAUUUCAGGGAGUGGCCCAAGUACCAAGUAGUCAAGCUUGUUAGCUCAUACUGAUGACUAGAGGACUAGUGAUGUUGCUGUCUCAAGGUAGUAUGCAGUUUUGACAACUGGUGACAUCUGCACAAAAUCUUACAAAGUCACAAAGGAACCCAUGAUUUUAAGUUUUUGUACCACUAAUACCAAAGUCAUUUGAGCCAAGGUCAUUUGGGCCCCAUUUUUGAGUGGUAGAUUGACCACAUACUGCAUUGUCUUGGGGUAGAGUUCUGAGCUUUAUUGUUAAACCUGAGCAUGUUUUAUUCUCAGUUAUGUCCAUCGUGCAGAUUGAUAUUUGCUGUUUAUGUGAAGUCACUAUGGUUGAGCUUUCUGAAAGCAAGAUGUAGAUUUGGGUGUCAUCAGCAUACCAGUGGCAUUCGAGUCCAUGUGAGAUAAUAGUACGCUCAUACAUACUUAUAAAAAUAUAUUUGUUAUUCACCAAAUUAAAAUUGUUGGAAAACUACUUUGAAUUCAAAGCGAAUUUAAAAUUUAAGGUCAAAUAGCCAAACAGCAAAAAUUCCCCAAAUCACCUAUACUUCCAAUUUGGUUAUUUUGACCUUUAAUUUUAAAUUCACUCUGAAAUCCCAACAAUUUUCACUUGGCGAAUAGCCUUGUUGGUGUGUUAAGUGUCCUGCCUUUUUGUCUUACAUGGUAAAGAAAAUAAAGAGAGGUAAAAGUGAAGGCAUGUUAAUUGACAAGGAAUUAUUGCCUGAUAAAAUGUAAUAACUGUAAGUGUGUAGUUUUGUGCAAACAGGGCAGCUUCAACAGGCUUAUAGUAGAGGUCAGAUACAUAGGCGUGCGCAGCCUAUUGCAUUAGGGUGUGCACCCUAAAGCACAGACACGCCGCG